rnacentral:rRNA from 1 species
UAGGGAAUCUUCCACAAUGGACGCAAGUCUGAUGGAGCAACGCCGCGUGAGUGAAGAAGGUCUUCGGAUCGUAAAGCUCUGUUGUUGGUGAAGAAGGAUAGAGGCAGUAACUGGUCUUUAUUUGACGGUAAUCAACCAGAAAGUCACGGCUAACUACGUGCCAGCAGCCGCGGUAAUACGUAGGUGGCAAGCGUUGUCCGGAUUUAUUGGGCGUAAAGCGAGCGCAGGCGGAAUGAUAAG